CAGGCUUAACACAUGCAAGUCGAGGGGCAGCAUGAACUUAGCUUGCUAAGUUUGAUGGCGACCGGCGCACGGGCGAGUAACACGUAUCCAACCUGCCGAUGACUCGGGGAUAGCCUUUCGAAAGAAAGAUUAAUACCCGAUGGCAUAGUUCUUCCGCAUGGUAGAACUAUUAAAGAAUUUCGGUCAUCGAUGGGGAUGCGUUCCAUUAGGUUAUUGGCGGGGUAACGGCCCACCAAGCCUUCGAUGGAUAGGGGUUCUGAGAGGAAGGUCCCCCACAUUGGAACUGAGACACGGUCCAAACUCCUACGGGAGGCAGCAGUGAGGAAUAUUGGUCAAUGGACGAGAGUCUGAACCAGCCAAGUAGCGUGAAGGAUGACUGCCCUAUGGGUUGUAAACUUCUUUUAUACGGGAAUAAAGUGAGGCACGUGUGCCUUUUUGUAUGUACCGUAUGAAUAAGGAUCGGCUAACUCCGUGCCAGCAGCCGCGGUAAUACGGAGGAUCCGAGCGUUAUCCGGAUUUAUUGGGUUUAAAGGGAGCGUAGGCGGACGCUUAAGUCAGUUGUGAAAGUUUGCGGCUCAACCGUAAAAUUGCAGUUGAUACUGGGUGUCUUGAGUACAGUAGAGGCAGGCGGAAUUCGUGGUGUAGCGGUGAAAUGCUUAGAUAUCACGAAGAACUCCGAUUGCGAAGGCAGCCUGCUGGACUGUAACUGACGCUGAUGCUCGAAAGUGUGGGUAUCAAACAGGAUUAGAUACCCUGGUAGUCCACACAGUAAACGAUGAAUACUCGCUGUUUGCGAUAUACAGUAAGCGGCCAAGCGAAAGCGUUAAGUAUUCCACCUGGGGAGUACGCCGGCAACGGUGAAACUCAAAGGAAUUGACGGGGGCCCGCACAAGCGGAGGAACAUGUGGUUUAAUUCGAUGAUACGCGAGGAACCUUACCCGGGCUUAAAUUGCAGAUGAAUUACGGUGAAAGCCGUAAGCCGCAAGGCAUCUGUGAAGGUGCUGCAUGGUUGUCGUCAGCUCGUGCCGUGAGGUGUCGGCUUAAGUGCCAUAACGAGCGCAACCCUUGUUGUCAGUUACUAACAGGUUCCGCUGAGGACUCUGACAAGACUGCCAUCGUAAGAUGUGAGGAAGGUGGGGAUGACGUCAAAUCAGCACGGCCCUUACACCCAGGGCUACACACGUGUUACAAUGGCCGGUACAGAGGGCCGCUACCAGGUGACUGGAUGCCAAUCUCAAAAGCCGGUCGUAGUUCGGAUUGGAGUCUGUAACCCGACUCCAUGAAGUUGGAUUCGCUAGUAAUCGCGCAUCAGCCAUGGCGCGGUGAAUACGUUCCCGGGCCUUGUACACACCGCCCGUCAAGCCACGGAAGCCGGGGGUGCCUGAAGUCCGUAACCGCGAGGAUCGGCCUAGGGCAAAACUGGUAACUGGGGCUAA
rnacentral:rRNA from 1 species